rnacentral:miRNA from 1 species
AGUGGAAUAACUGGGUCAAAUGGUGGUUCCAUUCUACGUUUUCUGCAGAAUCUCCGUACUGCUUUCCAGAGUGGUUGUACCUGUUUGCAGUCCCACCAGCAAU